UACGAAGGGUGCAAGCGUUACUCGGAAUUACUGGGCGUAAAGCGUGCGCAGGCGGUUUUGUAAGCCGGAUGUGAAAUCCCCGGGCUUAACCUGGGAAUGGCAUUCGGGACUGCAAGGCUGGAGUGCGGCAGAGGAGACUGGAAUUCCUGGUGUAGCAGUGAAAUGCGUAGAUAUCAGGAGGAACACCGAUGGCGAAGGCAGGUCUCUGGGCUGACACUGACGCUCAUGCACGAAAGCGUGGGGAGCAAACAGG
rnacentral:rRNA from 1 species